GACGAACGCUGGCGGCGUGCUUAACACAUGCAAGUCGAACGGAAAGGCCCUUCGGGGUACUUGAGUGGCGAACGGGUGAGUAACACGUGGGUGAUCUGCCCUGCACUUUGGGAUAAGCCUGGGAAACAGGGUUUAAUACCGAAUAGGACCACGCGCUUUAUGGUGUGUGGGGGAAAGCUUUUGCGGUGUGGGGUGGGCCCGCGGCCUAUCAGCUUGUUGGUGGGGUAAUGGCCUACCAAGGCGACGACGGGUAGCCGGCCUGAGAGGGUGACCGGCCACACUGGGACUGAGAUACGGCCCAGACUCCUACGGGAGGCAGCAGUGGGGAAUUUUGCGCAAUGGACGAAAGUCUGACGCAGCAACGCCGCGUGGGGGAUGACGGCCUUCGGGUUGUAAACCUCUUUUGUCAGGGACGAUGAUGACGGUACCUGACGAAUAAGUCACGGCUAACUACGUGCCAGCAGCCGCAGUAAGAC
rnacentral:rRNA from 1 species